GAAUCCCGUCUUUGGCACGGAUGCCUGGUGCUUCUGUGAUGCGCUCUCGAAGAGUCGAGUUGUUUGGGAAUGCAGCUCAAAAUGGGUGGUGAACUCCAUCUAAAGCUAAAUAUUGGCGAGAGACCGAUAGCGAACAAGUACCGUGAGGGGAAGAUGAAAAGCACUUUGGAAAGAGAGUGAAACAGUACGUGAAAUUGUUGAAAGGGAAACGCUUGAAGUCAGUCGCGUCGACCGAGACUCAGCCUCGCCUUGGCUUGGUGUACUUCUCGGCACGACGGGUCAGCAUCAAUUUUGCCCCUCGGAUAAUGGCAGGGGAAAGGUGGCACCUUUACGGGUGUGUUAUAGUCUUCUGUCGCAUGCGAGGGGUGGGAUUGAGGAACUCAGCGCGCACCUCAGUGUCGGGGCUUCGGCCCACGUCACGCGCUUAGGAUGCUGGCGUAAUGGCUUUAAACGACCCGUCUUGAAACACGGACCAAGGAGUCCAACACGCCCGCGAGUGUUCGGGUGGAAAACCCGUGCGCGUAAUGAAAGUGAAAGUUGGGACCUCUGUCGUGGAGGGCACCGACGCCCGGACCAGACCUUCUGUGACGGAUCUGCGGUAGAGCGUGUGUGUUGGGACCCGAAAGAUGGUGAACUAUGCCUGAAUAGGGUGAAGCCAGAGGAAACUCUGGUGGAGGCUCGUAGCGAUUCUGACGUGCAAAUCGAUCGUCAAAUUUGGGUAUAGGGGCGAAAGACUAAUCGAACCAUCUAGUAGCUGGUCCCUGCC
rnacentral:rRNA from 1 species